rnacentral:misc_RNA from 1 species
CCGCAGCCCGACUUGAGUGGAGCUCGUCAUCGCGAGGGGCGCAACGAUCUUUCAAUACCAACGCUACAUUCCUCGCGAUGACAGCGGGAACGGAAGGCGGAUAAAGC